CAAAACAUUUGGACCACAUUUACAGUACAUGUGACCGGUUACUCACUGAAGCUAAGCAGGGCUGAGCCUGGUUUGUACCUGGAUGGGAGACCAUAUGGGAAACUAUAGGUUGCUGUUGGAA
rfam:Danio rerio chromosome 10, GRCz11 reference primary assembly.